CAUGCAAGUCGAACGGCAGCGGGGGCUUCGGCCUGCCGGCGAGUGGCGAACGGGUGAGUAAUGCAUCGGAACGUGCCCAGUCAUGGGGGAUAACUACGCGAAAGCGUAGCUAAUACCGCAUACGCCCUGAGGGGGAAAGCGGGGGAUCGCAAGACCUCGCGUGAUUGGAGCGGCCGAUGUCGGAUUAGCUAGUUGGUGGGGUAAAGGCCUACCAAGGCGACGAUCCGUAGCGGGUCUGAGAGGAUGAUCCGCCACACUGGGACUGAGACACGGCCCAGACUCCUACGGGAGGCAGCAGUGGGGAAUUUUGGACAAUGGGGGCAACCCUGAUCCAGCCAUGCCGCGUGAGUGAAGAAGGCCUU
rnacentral:rRNA from 1 species